GGGAGCAGAGUGGUUACUGUAGGGACCGGUCUGACACCAGCUGGAGUUGGUCAGGGUUGGCAAGAUAGGAGGUGACCACUGUGUCCUAAGGGCUAGGUGGACUUUCACCCGGUGGCUGGUGGGAGGUACAUUUAGAGGCCACGGGCUGAGUCAUUGUCUGGUGCUAGGAGUAGGGAGGCACCCAGAGGAGAGGGUUCUGGGGGAUGGGCAAGGGAGUAACCUCAGGUCCCGUGCGUGGUACAUCUUCCACUUGCCCUCCAGCGUCUCUCUGUCCUCCACCCUCUGUGGCUCUGGCUGAGGGGAUCCACUCCCACCUCAGAGGUGACCCUCUCCCCCCAUCUCUCCUCAUGAAAGACCCCGUCACCUCAGAGGGGACCAGGAGCUGGGGCUGUGCUUCUCCUUUCCUAUUGACCUGCUCCUGGGGUGGCUGCCCACCGAGGGUCACCAUGCAGGGCCGCUACUGCCACAGCGCGAACAAACGUGGUCCCUGCAGGAAGGCCCCGUCUGGGUGAGUGUGCGUUAAUGCAUCCAGCUCAUUUCUGGUGUUUCUUGCAGGUUCUGUCAUUAGGGGAAGAGGCUGCUCGCAAGGAAGUGCAUUAAGAGUGGGCGAGCCGCGGAGUUUCCCAGCUCCUGGCUCCCCUCUCAUCACUGUGGGCUUUUUUACCAUAGCUCAGUCUAGUGCGGGAGACAGAACUUUUGGGAAGCCCUGGACCAGGAGAGGCUGGGUUGGCCUGCAAAGAUUGCUCCCAUCUGGACAGGAGAAUGAAGGUCAGACAGCAUCCACGUCUCACCGUGUUGCUCACAGAGACCCCGCCCUUGUUCGCCCUCCGCUGGGGGCUGCAGGGGCUGCGCCUCAGUUUCCUUGUUUGUCAGACCUUGAGGAUGCGACAAAGAGGAAAGGGGUUACAGUUGUUACUAACAGAAGAGCUUGUCCUAGACGAGCCGCUCCGUGAGCACUGGGAGCCAGAACCCUGUGCUGUGAGAUUCGAAGGAGACGACCACCACAUCUGUUCUCCCAGCCUGAUGGCCAGCCUCCACUUCUCAAAACCUGAAAAUCAUCCUCAGCUCCGUGGACGAAUCCCAGCUGCUUCCCCUGGCGGCCGGCUAGCUCAAGCUCAUCUCCCCGCACUUGCUCUGACCCCUCAAGACUUCAGCUUGGACCACUGCUUGUUCCUGAACCCUCCAGACCUGCGCAGCCCAGUGGAACCUUCUGCAACGGUGGGAGUGUUCCAGAUCUGCACUGUCCAAUGUGAUAGCCACUGCACUGGCCACUUGAGAUGUGGCUGCUGAGACUGAGGAACUGAGUGUGUAAUUUUAUGUAAUUAUGAUUGAAAUUCAAAUAGCCACAUGUGGCUGGUGGCUAACACAUUGGACAGAGAGAGCUCUAGACCGCCGCUGCUCAGAGUAUCGUCUGACAAUCAGGGUUAGCCUCGCCUGGGCAUUUGUUAGAAAUGCAGAAUCGUGGGCCCCCCGCCCCAGCCUGCUGAUCCGAAUCUCUGAGCUGGGCCCCAGCCCGCUGCAGCCCCCUGUGUUUACCGCUCUCUGGGUGGGGUCUGGUGCUGGGGCUGGGGAGGUGCUGCUGCAGUGCGCUGCACACCUCAGCCUUUUCACAAGCUGUUUCCUCGGCCUGGAAGUGCUUCUCUCUCUCCUCUGCUUAGCACAGUCCUGUUGUUCAGAAUCCAGGUAAAGCCAGCUCUUGGGGAGGCCCUCUCUGUUGGCCCCUCUGCUGCACCGGUAGGAUGGCGCCGUCACGCUGCGUCACCAUCUUUCGUUGAACGGUCUGUCCCCGGGAGCUCCUUGGGUGGGAGUGACCCUGGUCCUCCCUGUGUCCAGCCAGGCGCAGGCUAUUUCGGAUGCUCAGAACUGCCUGCUGAGUAACCCCCGGCCUGGCGAGGUCUGCGCUGCUGCCGGUGGCCUCUUUUCUGCCCUGGCACUUUGCUUUGGAAUCAGGGUUUUGGUCUUUGGAAAUCCUUAUGGCCAUUGGGAGGGUUCAAGUCUUAAAUUUCCUUUCAAGGGCUAAUUUUUUUUUUUUGCUCCUUUUUUAAGAGUAUAGAUUUUUCGUUUAGUUGGAAGAGUCAGGAAAUGCAGAUGUUGCUGUGGAUGGUUCAGAAUUCCCCGAGGGGUGAACUUGUUGAAUCCAUCUUGAAAGUGGGGGCCCUCAGCCAGGACCACGGCUGCUGACACAGGCGGAGGCGGGGCGCGGGCUUCUGUGUCAGAGCGGUCCCCGCAGGUCCUGACGCCUGGACUCAGCAUUCUCCCUGCCUGUGCGAACGCCCUCCCUGGGAGCUGCUGGGCCUGGGGCAGGCCCUGAGGGAGGGGUCAGGGCUGGGAUCCUGGCCGCUGGGCAAGAGGGGCUGCCUCCGAUCCCACCUUGGGUGGGUGCUUCCAGCCCACACGGCUGCCCCGGGCCCUGGCUCCGUGAGUUCAGUGGGGGCUCGGUUCUCCGUCCUCAGGGCCCAGGGCCCCAGCUCCCGCUGCAGGCCCUCCCUCAGUCCCGGAACCCAGCCUCUGAGACUCACCCCAUAGGCCACACUGGGCAUUAGCAGCCUGCUGCACCAAGCCGGCUACCAGGCAGCGGGGCAGAAGCAGGGUGCCAGGAGAACCAAUUCAGGGUUGGGAGAACAACAAAACCAGCCCAAAAGAUGUGGGUGUGAAUGUGGCCUCAGCCUCUUUGAGCUGCAUGGCCUUGAGCAAGUUACGGGAGCCUCAGUUUCCCCUCUGUAAAAUGGGAAUGGUGACGUCUGCCACAUGGGGCGAGAGACUCGCAUGUCCACCCAGUGCAGACCCUGGUGUGUGGGAGGGCAGGCCCAGUCUCCCUCCACCUGAGACGCUUGAGCCCUUCAGCCGGUAGAUGGCAGCUGACCUCAGUCCCACUCGCUGCUGCCCCUCUGGGCCAGGCUCCUGCUGGGGACACGGAGGAGCCUCACGCCUGGCCUGGAUCUUGAGGACCCCGAGCCCAGCAGGGACCUCAGCCGUGCCUAAGCACUGUGCCGGGAGAGAGGAAGGCAGAUUCCGGGGGCCCGGGGGACGCUGGGCCUUGCUGAGGAGGCAGGGAGAUGGGAGGAGGAGACGCACAAGGGUGUUUCAAAUGAUGAUCCAUGGUUGGGGGGGGCGGGGUGUGUUCCAGGCAGGGAACAGCACUGGCCAAGGCACAGAGACAGGCAGGAAACGGCUGGGUGCAGGCGGUGGGUGAGGUGGGCACGGGGUCAGGCCGCAGGACCCACAGGUGCUCACACCUGCCACCUGCUGCUGCUUCCUUCCGGGACUCCCUGCCCUCCUGCCCCAGCUUGCCGACGCCCUAGACAGGCUGAGUCCCCACUUCUGGGGCCCAUGGUAGCAUCUCACAGGCCUGGCGAUGAGGUCAGGGCCUUACCUGCUCAGCCACUGGGGCCACGGCCCCGUGCUGUGGUCACUCAGUGAGGGUGCACCUCACAGAACCCUUGGAGAGAGGCAUCUUCCAAAGGCAGGCUUGCUCUCCUGAUGCUGCAGAGUGGUGCUGGCACCUUCUGAAGGCACCAGACUGUCUGCUGGGCCACAGAACUCCGUCCCGAGGACAAGGUUCCCCCACUGCCUCUCUCCCACACCCUUGGCUGCACCAGGAGACGUGGCCGCGAGGAGGGGUCUGGGGGACAGGCAAAGGGAGGGGGGCUCAGAAGGCGCCCUCAUGCACACACCCACCCCAGAGAUGUCCAGGGUCCUUGCCCUCCGUGAAGCCACCUCCCGGGUCUGCUCCACCCCCAGCCUACGCCAGGCCAAGGAGUCCACGGGGCUCUGUGCUGGAAGCUUCUUCCUACAGAGGAGACACUGGCCAUUCUGUCCCUCUGUGACCCAUAAGCAAGGAUGCAGGUGACAGACGGCUCUCUGUGGGGCGCUUGGAGAACUGGCACUGCCUGUCAGGUCCUCAGACGGUGAGAAGCAGGUGACUUUUCUCAUCACCCUUUUUGCGAGGGCUGCUAGGAAGCUCAGAAGCAAGUUGUUCUUUAUGGAAACAUCAGUGGUAUAAAGUGUUAACAGCAGCCCCACAGCUGCUCACUGCAGCCAGCUCUGCCCCGCAGCAGGUGCGCUCAGGCCAGUCUCAGGGUUCCCAAGCCUCGGUCGCGUCGUCUGCAGAAUGGGCUCAAGAGAAACAAGCUCACAGGGCUGUUUGGGGAAUUAAAUGAGAUAUUUUGUGAGAAACACUCUUAACAAUGCGGUUGUCAUGUGAGGCAGGAAGUGUUGAUGUUUUUCUGCUUCUCAGCGGGAGGUGGAAUGAGCGUGAAGGACCAGUGGGUGGCACUAGGUAAGGAAUAGAUUUUUCCUGGUGGAUGGAUAAAAAGUUUCGGCAGCCCUAGCAGGUAGUAACUGACUGUUGAGAGGUCUCGGAUUUGGGUCUGCUGUGGGCGUGGUUCAGCUCCCAAAAAAAAGGGCAGCAAAAUGCAUUUGGGAUGUUUUGAAAGUGGAGCUGGGCAGCAGACACCCCAGGAAGGUGCAAGAACUCCAGGUCUAGGUCUGAGAUGCCGGCAGAAGGCGAGGGGUGUAGGUCCCGAAGGGCAGGAGGUCUGUCUCACCCAGCCCACGCUUACUGCGCACCCACAGUUUCUGAGCCCCUCCCUCUCCCUAGGCCCCCCUUGGUCAUGGGGUGCAGAGAGCAGUGACCAUGGUUCCCACCAGGCUCGGGGAUGGGUGCCUGAGGGAGGGUGCUGGGGGCACACGGUUCACGGCAGCUCUGCAUGUCUGGGGCAUCCUCCAUGGGCCCGGAGGGGGCUGGAGGUGGCACUGUGCCCAGGAGGAGUGGCUGGGGCUGGGCGUAGGGCUUCAGCCAGGGGAGAGAAGAGACAGUCCCAGGGGUCUUGGGUGGAGAACAGAACAGCUUGUUCUAUGCCACCCUCCAUACGGAACACGGAACAUCCAACACGGAAGCCAGACCGAGGGCAGAUUUCUGCUCAGCCCACGAAAGAAAAAAUGUUUGGAUCAGCAGAGCUGACAAGAGGUGGGACACACUGCCUCCGGGGAGUGAGCACCCUGUCAUCAAGGGUGUGCAAGUGGAGGCUGCACGACUAUCUGGCAGGAAUUCUGGGGGAUAUCUUCCCUGUUGAUAUUUGGGGGUGGGGGCGUGAACUUGAUCAUUUGCAGAUCCCUGUUAAUUUAGACAGUUUGUUUCUGGGAGUGGACAUCAUGGUGGAACUGUGGGCGCUGUGGAGCCUGGCUGUUGGGACCCAGAAUCUCCUCGUCAUGCUUCCAGUCUGCUGUGUGAUCUCAGGAGAGAAGAUAAGUUGAUUUUGAUGACUCAUCACGGGGCAUUCUCCAAAACGGGUCUGCGAACUCCUGUUAAUCGGCGACGGUGGCUAAUGGUGUGUUUCUAGAGCACUCCCCUGGUCAUGACUUCAGAAAUCCUCCUCCGUAGUCCAUGGAGUCAUUUUCAUAGUGGGCAGGCGCCCUGAAGUGGAAACGCUGUCCUGCCUUCUCCCUGUUGGCCUUGGUUGGCGCAUCUGGAUGCUUCCGGCAGAGUGGUCGUCAGGGCCGUGGCGAGGGACCCUCUGUGUAUUUGUUGUCUGCUGCUGUGUAAUGAAUUGCAACGAACUUCACGGCCAAAGGAACACUGUCCUCUCACAGUUGCUGUGGGCCUGGGCUCUGAGCGCGGCUUAGCCGGGUCCUCUGCUUAGGGCCUCAUCAGGCUGCUGCUGUCCUCUUGGCUGGGGAUGUGCUCUCAGCUCAAGCCUCACUGGUGAAGGGCCUGCUGCUGAGCUCACGUGGUUGUUGGCAGCAUUCGGUGCCUUGCUGGCUGUCGGCCAGAGGCUGGCCUCGGCUCGCUGCCACGUGGCCCUGUCCUGAGGCCCGUUCACCGUGUGGCAGCUUCUUCAGAGCUGGCAAGGGAGAGCGCCCCCUGGCAAGACUGCUGACACCCUCUCGUUUGGUUACUGCUGAAGUGACGGCCCAUCACCCUUGCAGGGUCCUGUUGGUUAGAAGCCAGUUGCAGGCCCUGCCCACACUCUGGAGGUUACUCGCGAACACAGGAGGUGGGCCAUGGGGCCACUCAGAGUUGGUGCUGUUGUCUGGGCCAGCCCACACCAUUUUAUCCACCCUUCAGACGAGCACACCCUGCAGCAUGGGCAGGGGCUGGAAUCCCAUCAGAGUGAGACGGGGGCAUGCCCUGUGCGCCUCACACUGGCACAUGGAAGGUGGAAGAGCUGGGUUGGCAUCACGGGCUGUGUGACCAUGGGUGGGCCACCUCCCGUGGGGGCUGCUCCCUCAUCCGUAAAGUGAGGAGGGGGUGACCUUGAGGGGUCCCAGCCCAUUCUCUGCUGAGGAUAUCUGCCCCCUGCCCCCGGCUGCAGGUGCCACAUUUGGGGGGCUGCUCUCCCUCACAAACCCUCCUGUUCUCCAAGGACACUGACUGGGCCCUCCACAAAGUUAACCCAGGUCUGACACUGUCUGCCUGGCAUAGCGUCAGACCCCACAGGUUAAGGGCUCUAUCCCACAAGACUCCCUCCCCUCCCCCGCUUCAGAUGCCGGUCACAAGUCCAGGUUGUCACUUGUGCUUUGGACCUCCUGGCUGAACAUCAGAGGUUCCCAUGACCCCCUCCUCGGGUUCCAUCAUUUGCUAGAGUGGCUCACAAACUCACAAAAAUGGUUUACUUACCUUAUCACACCUGCCACCUCCCCACGGCCCCUGGCAGGGGGCCUUCCAUUCCGCCAGCCCCCAGCCCCAGCUGAUGGAUCCAAGCCUGAGGAGCUGGCCCAAAGGAACUGCCCAGAGCGACAGGUGCUUGCUCAGUGGAACCUGAACCAAGGGGUGUGGAGUCUGGUCAGACAGAGGGUCCUAGCAGCAAGGCCAUAUGGGGCUGUGUGCCCAGUGGCGAGGGGCAGAGCAUGCUGGCCCAGAAGUGACCUCUGGGGCAGUCUCCUGACCUUAAACUGUAGGUGAUGGGUGGCCCUGCCAGGUAGAGGACUGAGUGGGGUGACCAGGCCGCACACCUCGGAGGGCGUGGCGCCGAGUCGGUGCCCAGUGAGAUGUGGAAGUCAGCUGCUGUGUACGGAAGCUGGCGAGCAGUGGUCAUGCUGGGGCUGCUGUGACUGUGCGGGGGGAGCCUCACCCCGGGGGAGGCCGGGCGAGUUCCGUUGUAGCUCUGCUGACCGAGCCUGAGAUGGGUUUCUUUUUAUUUAUUUAUUUUUGUUCUUUUUUUUCCUUUAUUUUAAAGUAUGGAAGCUCAAGUAUAAGAUGUAGAUGUGUUUUUAAGCUUUACAAAAAAA
rnacentral:lncRNA from 1 species